rnacentral:tRNA from 1 species
GAAGAGAUGGCUGAGUGGUUAAAGGCGAUAGACUGUAAAUCUAUUAAAUAAUUAUUAACAUAGGUUCAAAUCCUAUUCUCUUCA